CACACCUCUCUGCACCCAUUCUGACUUCACACCUCUUGAUUGGCCUCUCUGUCUGUCCCCUGCUCCCGCCUCUCACUCCUCCUCCCUCCCAACCUUUGUUCUUCCGCUACUUUACCUUUGCCUACUGCCCUGUCUCUCUCACACCUGAAGAAGGCUCCACGGCCGAAACGUUGUGUUCUCUUUCUUCUUUUUUUCAGCAUGGAAUAAACCUAUUACUUGUUCCUAUAUAUAUAUAUUGCACCUGAGAGACUAAUGAGAAACACGUUUCACUAUACUAUGCACCCGUGUAAGUAUAAUGACAAAUAAAGUUGAAUUGAAUUGAGUUACUUCCGCCUCACUAACAGAAUCGCCCACUCCGUCUGCCUGUCAGGACUUGCCCACAGAGACGCAGCCCCGAGACUCAGCUACAGGAAGACUGGAAUCCUGAGUGUGGGACAACUGGGAUUGUGUGACGGUUGAGACCUAAACUGAACCAAACCACCACCAGCUGCAGAGAAUUUGUCCCAGUGGGAUUAGUUUUUAGACAGAGAAUGGAGAGCACACUGGUCAGGAAUUUGCUUUUCUACUGCAUAUCAGCUGCUGCCUUGAGCUGCUGCACAGGAUCAGGGCUCUGUGUCCCUGAACACACUGAGAACAUAUCAUGCAGAACCAUGGACCCUCCUGGAGUUUUCUGUCAGUCCUUCAAGGAGUGUGGUGCACAGCCAGGCCAGUGCAAACAGCUGGAUACCCCAGACAAGCUAGCAUGCAGUGUCAGAUUCAGAAAGGAAGCUUCCAAAAGAAUAUACUGCACUGAAGAGAUUGCUGAAGUCAGAUGCUGGGCAAAGAAGCCUUUUGCACUGUAUUGUGAUCAAAACAAUUGGUUGGACCUUAGUGAAGACACACAGUACUGUCACCUGACCUACCAAAGACCCACCGGAGAUCUUCCGUCUACAGGAUUCAAGACAACCACAGUGACCCCAAUCACUGAAGUCCUGAAUACCACCUCCACUGAAAAUCAAAUCCCACCUAAGGAUUCAUCCAUAUCUGACAGUUCCACAGAGGACAAAAACCCAGCAGCAGACUCUAACGGUAGGGUGAAGAGUCUGGUUGGAGUGUUUGUGACUCUGGGUCUGUUAACCAUAACAGCUAUUGCUGUCACCCUGAUCCGGAAAUACAGGCGCCAGGCUGGAAUGGGGAAGAAACACCUAAAACUGUUAGAUAAGAGUAUGGAGAAUGGGAUCAAUUUUUCUAACAGUGAUAACCUGCUCUCUUCGCUGGAGUGAUUAUCCUGAGACUGUGGAAAUGAUCACACUACAGGAAACUUAAGGGAGGAGAGACCUCAUCUACACAAGCAAUUGUCACGACUGGAGUCCCUCCCCCCUUAAGGGCGCUCCGGCCCUUUCACUUUGGACUUGAUUUUGUGCACCUGUCUCCUGUUCCCAGUCCACCUUAAAAGCCAGGCGCUGACAUUAAUCACGGCUCUGCAUCUGAUUUCCACAUCGUGGACCGGAUCUGGUUGCGCCUGCCUCCGUUAUGUUUUUAGCUUCCCGCUCUUGUUCCUGUUCCCCCCGCCGGUCCCGAACCGGCACCUAUUUUUAAUACCUGGUUUUUGGAUGGACCGCUUGGCUUUGGACUUUGCCCGUUUUUUGGAUUGUUUGCCUCGGCCACACCUCCCCCGUGCACCAGCGCACUUUGGACACGCCCCUCUGUUUUCAUCCCCGUAUUCCUGUGUGAUCUUUUUUUCCCCAGUGUUUCCUCACAAUUCUGGAAUGUGUUGUCCGCAUAGCGUCUGGAAAGAACUGUUUGUUACAGCAAUAAGCCCCAAAGGAAAAAGGUUUAAUUAGAAAAGUGGAAGAAUCUUUCAGUGAUAUAUCAGCCCUCAGUGGUGUGAGACAGAGAUCACACCUUUAUCAUCCAUGAGGAAGAUGUUCCAUUAGAAAUUUUGUAAAUACCUGUUACACACUAAUUUACUUACUGUAUUGUAUACUGUGUACAGAGCUUACACUGGUAGCUGGUGAAAGACACUUUAUAAAAACAAUUUGAUGUCUGUAGCGUAGAGGGUAGCUAAUUACGUAUUCUGACAGCAACUAUAAAACUACACCUUAAAUAAACUUCACUACCACAAUUCUG
ensembl:lincRNA